CGUGUGGUUUGUUGCUCCGGGAAGAAAACAUCGUCUCACUGACUUACAAUGGCUGUUUCCACCGCCAUAACCGCCGUCGCACACGUAGCAUCUCAUCUAAUCCCUCCACGAACCGCAUUCGCCAUCUCUUCCCAUAGACUCUCUUCACUCUCGCAAUCGAGAAGACUGAACCUCAGUUACCUACAGCGGAGAGCCAACGCACUCUCGCCGAGGCGCGUCGUGGUACGCGCCGCCAGAAUUGAGUCAGGCGGAGUCGAAUUAGGAGCUAGGGCUCCGGAUUUCGAGCUUCCGGAGCCGCUCACCGGGAAUGUAUGGAGAUUAGAUGAUUUCGAGCUGUAUCCAUGUCUACUGGUUAUGUUCAUCUGUAAUCAUUGCCCGUUUGUGAUUCACUUGAAGAAAGACAUUGUAAAGCUCUCCAAUUUCUAUAUGAAGAAAGGUCUUGCUGUUGUUGCAAUAUCUUCGAAUUCUGUAGUAACACAUCCUCAGGAUGGGCCAGAGUUCAUGGCAGAAGAUGCAAAAAUGUUCAAGUACCCGUUUCCUUACUUAUAUGAUGAAUCACAAGAGGUUGCAAAGGAAUUUGGAGCUGUCUGUACCCCUGAGUUUUUCUUAUAUAAGAAGGAUGGUCGUAGGCCAUUUGAACUGGUUUAUCACGGCCAGUUUGAUGAUUCUCGGCCUAGCAAUAACACACCAGUAACUGGGAGAGAUUUAAGCCUCGCAAUUGAUCUUGCACUUAGCUGUCAACCAAUACCAACGAAUCAAAAGCCAAGUGUUGGUUGCAGCAUAAAGUGGCAUCCAGGAACCCAAUCUUGAGCUAAGACAUUGGCUGUGUGUAACAUUAUUUUCAGGCGAGUUGUUUGUUCUAUAUACUCAGGUUUGUUCCACAAUCAAAACUGAAAGGAGAGAAGGCAAGGCAGAAGAAUUUCAAAAGCAUGGCCAGUAAAAUUACUUAUGUAGAAAGUGUAAGUUGUAUUCAUUAUUUGAAGAGAAAUAUACAGUAAUCUACUCCACGGAUUCUAUCUCGUGGGAGGGUUCAUGUGUGAUAUAAAUUCAUGAACAAUAUAUAAGAAUAAGUUUCAGUGUAA